UUUUUUUUUUUUUUUUUUUUUAAUGAAUGGAGGGCGGCGGCGACUGCUGCAGCUGGCUCAGCUGCGCGGGCUGUGCCCCCUCCCCGCCAGCGAGAGGAGGAAGGCUGGUGGACAACCUGCACCAACAAAACUGAGAAGUAAAUCAAGAGAACAGGCAACAUGGGAAUAACUGCAUCGAGCUCAGGUUCCGUGGGAUACUAGCUGGCUGGAGGGGAGGCGGCUGACCAGGGAUGCUCCCAAGGAAACCCGUGUGUGCAAACACAGGCUGGAUACGGAUGGUCCAGCAGGACUAGCCCCGCGCACGCAAACCUUUUCUAAAGGAGGGCAGGAUAGGUGGCAGAGAAAACCAGAACGUGGAUCCUAAAAACUUACGAGGCACAAGCUGGUUAAUAAGCCCCGUGUGGCUCUCCUGCUGCCUUCACAUCUGCAAUGACAGCAUUUCCCUGUGGUCCCUCUGGGUGACCGUCCUGCUAUACAUGAAGCUCAUUGGAGAUGCACAUGUCAAGGGUGAAAAAAUGCUGGGGCACCCACGUGGCAUACCAGGAGGGUCCAGUGAGACCGUUCUGUGGCUGGCCUUUAGAGUCACCAGCCUGGGUGUUCAUCCUAGCCUCUGCCACAUUGACUGUGUGACCUCGGGUAUGUUGUUUAACCUCUCUGUGCCUCCAUUUCCAUAUUUGCAAAGAGGAGAUGAGAAUAGUACUUACCUCACAGGGAUUCACAGACUACUCAACAUAAUAGUGCAUUUACAGCCCCUGGCACUAGGUAAAUGCUAGGAACAGUUAUUUAAAGCAAACACAAGAUCCAGCUGGUAGGGACUUUUGACAUCAGGGCCCACCUAUUUUAUUAAAAAUUAUUUUAGUAAUUUUUAAAAGUAACUGACCAUAGCAAUAACUAAUAGCAAUGGCUAACAUUUAUGACCACUUACCACGUGCCAGGCACAGGGACAAGAACUCUUCAGGCACCAACUUGUUUAAAAAUGUGAAGGUACAAGGGGUGGGUGUUCUCCCAGCCCCAGGUCCUGUCUACAGAGGCAGCCACGGUUACCAGCGUUCUGUGUAGCUUUACUGAUGUCAUCUGUUAAUGCAUAAAAUACUGAAAUCUCUUUUUACCAUUCAACUUUAAUUAUGAGGAGACCUGGGCUCUGGGAGGCAUCCCAGCGAGUUGUAAUAACAGUUCCUAUUCUGGGUGUGGGCCCUGCUCCCAGUUUUAUGUGUUUUUGACUCCUUGCUGCAACUCUGCAGAAUGCGCUGUAUUGUGUAGAAUAAAUUCUGUAAACCUUAGUUUACCUCAGUGGGUUGAUUGAGGACUGAAUUAGGU